AAACCACAAGGGGAGCCGAAGCUCCCCCAGAAGUAGUUGCGUGCUCUAUUUUUAUUAUUGGUUUCGGGCUUCUUGUUUUUGUUGAGCGCCCUCGCCAUGAAGUUUUCCUUCAUGACCCUCCCAAUCGGGAGCCAAGAGCAAACGGAUUGCUUUGGUCGCUGUGUUGCUAUGAUCGUGUGAUCCAACCAGUUCAGGCACUGCCUAGGGACAGUU
rnacentral:sRNA from 1 species